rnacentral:rRNA from 1 species
GCAACCUGCCCAAAAGAGGGGGAUAACACUUGGAAACAGGGGCUAAUACCGCAUAACCAUAGUUACCGCAUGGUAACUAUGUAAAAGGUGGCUAUGCUACCGCUUUUGGAUGGGCCCGCGGCGCAUUAGCUAGUUGGUGGGGUAAAGGCUUACCAAGGCAAUGAUGCGUAGCCGAACUGAGAGGUUGAUCGGCCACAUUGGGACUGAGACACGGCCCAAACUCCUACGGGAGGCAGCAGUAGGGAAUCUUCCACAAUGGGCGAAAGCCUGAUGGAGCAACGCCGCGUGGGUGAAGAAGGUCUUCGGAUCGUAAAACCCUGUUGUUAGAGAAGAAAGUGCGUGAGAGUAACUGUUCACGUUUCGACGGUAUCUAACCAGAAAGCCACGGCUAACUACGUGCCAGCAGCCGCGGUAAUACGUAGGUGGCAAGCGUUAUCCGGAUUUAUUGGGCGUAAAGGGAACGCAGGCGGUCUUUUAAGUCUGAUGUGAAAGCCUUCGGCUUAACCGGAGUAGUGCAUUGGAAACUGGGAGACUUGAGUGCAGAAGAGGAGAGUGGAACUCCAUGUGUAGCGGUGAAAUGCGCAGAUAUAUGGAAGAACACCAGUGGCGAGAGCGGCUCUCUGGUCUGUAACUGACGCUGAGGUUCGAAAGCGUGGGUAGCAAACAGGAUUAGAUACCCUGGUAGUCCACGCCGUAAACGAUGAAUGCUAAGUGUU